CGUCCUCGAUCUGUUGCGGGCAGAUGAAAUGGAUGUGGCUGUCAAACCCGCCUGCGGUCAGGAUGCGCCCUUCGCCUGCGAUGGCUUCGGUGCCUGGACCGACGAUGAUGUCGACGCCGGGUUGCGUGUCAGGGUUGCCCGCCUUGCCGAUCUUGGCGAUCCGCCCGUCUUUCAGACCCACAUCAGCCUUGUAGAUACCGGUAUGAUCCACGAUCAGCGCAUUGGUGAUGACCGUGUCCACCGCGCCUUGGGCACGGGUGGUCUGGGCCUGUCCCAUACCAUCGCGGAUG
rnacentral:sRNA from 1 species